rnacentral:rRNA from 1 species
UAGAGUUUGAUCCUGGCUCAGGAUGAACGCUGGCGGCGUGCCUAACACAUGCAAGUCGAACGGGAAGCCGGUUUCGAUCGGUGGAGAGUGGCGCACGGGUGCGGAACACGUAGCUGACCUGCCGCGAAGCGGGGAAUAACCGCUCGAAAGAGUGGCUAAUACCCCAUAAGCUCACAGGCGCUAGAGGCCUGCGAGAAAAACCCCGGUGCUUCGCGAGGGGGCUGCGGCUCAUCAGGUAGAUGGUGGGGUAACGGCCUACCAUGCCAACGACGAGUCGGGGGUCUGAGAGGAUGAUCCCCCACACUGGGACUGAGACACGGCCCAGACUCCUACGGGAGGCAGCAGUGAGGAAUAUUGCACAAUGGGGGCAACCCUGAUGCAGCGACGCCGCGUGGGUGAUGAAGGGUUUCGGCUCGUAAAGCCCUUUUCUGUGUGACGAGCAAGGACGGUAGCACAGGAAGAAGUCUCGGCUAACUACGUGCCGGCAGCCGCGGUAAAACGUAGGAGGCAAGCGUUAUCCGGAGUUACUGGGCGUAAAGCGCGUGUAGGCGGUUUGCUAAGUUCGCUGUGACAACGCCCGGCUUAACCGGGCGAGGCCAGUGAAGACUGGCAGGCUGGAGGCUGGCAGAGGGGUGCAGAAUUCCGGGUGUAGCGGUGAAAUGUGUAGAGAUCCGGAGGAAUACCAGUGGUGCAGACGGCGCCCUGGGCCAGACCUGACGCUGAGACGCGAAAGCGUGGGGAGCGAACGGGAUUAGAGACCCCGGUAGUCCACGCCGUANACGAUGUGAACUGGGUGUGCACCACGCACUGCGUGGGGUGUGCCGAAGCUAACGCGUUAAGUUCACCGGCUGGGGGAGUACGGUCGCAAGGCUAAAACUCAAAGGAAUUGAC